UUUGUUAGUAUACAAGUUUUUAGUAUCUUGUAGAGAUAUGGUAUAACUGUUUUUUUUGCAGCUAUAAGAUGCACUAGAUUUUAACUCGCGGUACACCGUGGGGACAAUUUAUUUUUUAAAGUUAGUAUAUAUAAAAAUUUAUAAAUUGUAUCUAUCUAUAAAAUAUUUUUAUUUUAUAGUUUACAACUGUUAUUAAGUAACGUCCUGCCAAACCCGUCCCGCAAAACCCAUCCUGCAAAAAAAACUAUUUAUUUUAUUAAUGUUGAUCUUAUUUAUGAAUCAUUGUCUAAAUAUUUUAGUCGAUGCGGGAUGUUGAACCCACACAUUUUUCGCCAAUUGGUUAAUAUAUGUUCAUUUUUAAAAUUUUGAAUCACAAAAUAUGACGGAAUUUUUUUUGAGAUUUUUUAAACUAUAUAUUAUAUAAUGAUGUUAAAUUUUUUGAUAUAUUAAACUUUUUAUAAGUUUAAAUAUUAAUAAUGUUUUAUAAAGUUUAAAUAUAUAAAUAAUAAU
rnacentral:sRNA from 1 species